AAAAAACCCCAAACCCCUUAAUUGCAAUUAGUUCUGCCUUUCACUUUUGAUGACCUAGCCCUGAUACCUGAUACUUUUUCAACAGCACAGUGUUGGCUGUUACCAGUUCUGGCCAGGUCUCUCAGCACAUACAUCAGUGCAGUGUUUCUUUGGAAGAUUUUGUUUUCUUUUUGCCAUUUGUCAGGAGAUGUGGAUGUACUCCCCAGCCUUCUGUUGGCUGAGUGCUGAGAACGCAUAGUAUGAAGUACAUUUAUGUGCUUGUAUUAUCUUAAUGUAACCUAAAAAAGCACAACAGUAGAAUGAGAUUUCUGAGUUUUAAGACAGGGUAUCCUGUCUGUGUUGUAAGGAGAAUGUAUUCCCUGGGAAUCUGUAGCAGUCUGCUAUGCUCAGUAAAGUAUCUUCAAGCUUUCCUCUGUGAAACGAGCCUGUAUUCUUUGGAGAAGAAUGGGGAAGGAAAGUCUCAAAUAAAUGGAUGUAAUUGCCUUCAUUAAAAGCUGACUGAACAGACUUUAUCCUGUGGGGUCUACUCUCUCUCUCUGAGUCUGGCCCUCUGAACUGAGAUGCAAGGAGAGAUAUCAACAUCAUGUCUUCAGAGGAUGAAUAACUUCCCAAGAAGCUUACACUACAUUAAGACCCAUCUUCACAAUGAACAUUCCUAGGAGAAGAGAGUGCAGGUGGCUGGGCCUUACGAGGGAGCCUUUGAGAAGUUAUUUUGGUGAAAAGCUGGCUGCCACCCACUGUGCUUCUCUGCCAGCCGCCGUGCUCCUUCACUCUCACCACACCUCUCUCAUCCUCAAGAUAUUUGAAGAGUUUGUAUUCAAGGUGUGGAACAUCCGUGUGAUCCAGCCUGUAAAAUACCAUCGUGGAAGAAACUGCAUCUCUGGAGUGAAAGGAAGGAAGAAAAUAAGACUGAAGGCAAUAGAGUUACACUGAAGAUGGCUUUGGCCCAAGGGUUUAUGCAAAACAGAUUUGUGAUGUUGCAAAUUUGUAUUUUUCCUUUCUGUUUCAAAAUGGGAAAGAGCAGAAACAGUUGAUACUGUCAUGAAAUUUCAAGACUGAAACACAAAGUAUUGGAAACUUGAGUGUCCUUAAUAGUGCUAAUCCAAGCCUGCUGGACCUGUGGACCAUUUUUGCAAUCAAAUGCUUAAGAAAUGCAGUGCAGUGAACUGAAUACUAUAAUUCUAACAGGAAAUUUCUCACUAAAAUCAGUGAGAAUUUUGUCUAUGUGAGGCUUACAAGAUUGGUUAGUACUUGAAGAACAACUUUUCUUCUUCCAUAAAGAUCCUCGCUGAUGGGUUCCUAUACUUCACCAGCUUCUCUUCUUUUCCUCUGUCAGAUUACAACAGAGGAUGGCAUGCUCUGAGUGCAGCUCCAAUACGUGGCACGUGGCUGUAUCUUUUGUUCUUAAAUUACAUGACUCUUGAGACAAGAAAACCUGCCAGAAAUCAGCCUUUGGAUGAGGAAGGCCAGGUCCCAGCUGAACCAAGCAGCACAAGUAGGAACUAUACCAAAGAAGUGGGCUCACCCAGAGCAUUCAUUGAAGUGGUGCAGAGCAUUGGGCACAUGCUGGAUCUUCCACAAAGCUUGGAGAGCUGGGCAGCCUCCAUUCCUAUCAACAUCUUCCUCACCUUUCCUCCUGUGAAGAGACAAGGAACCACCAACACAACUGCAGAACCCCAUGGACUCCCGUAUCUGCACAAGGAGGAGACUGUGUGACCCUGAUCUUGGCCAGCAUAGCACAAGGCUCCCCAGCAGUCACCUGCUUGAACCUAACACAUCACGGUCAGCUUCUAGUGAUAAUACAGCAUUCCUUAAUUUUGAAAGCAAUUAUGGGUCUGAGUUCAGGUUUUUUUUUCCCCAGAUUAAAGUCAAUAAAACACUCGGACAUCCGGAUUCCAAUCACAUGCAUAUUACUAACUGUGAUAUUUGUAUCGCUGAUCCAGAAGCCAAUCACAACACUAACUCACUCUAUUGCUAAAAUAAGGAUAGCUUCCUCAUAAGCCAAAAUAACAGCCUGUUAUCCCUUCCAAAGCCACCGUUUUUCUGGCCUCGCAGGAACAAAGGAACAGGAGGUAGGCAAUACUCUUAUGGGGAAAGUAAACUAUCCCUCGCACAAGAAGCUUUUAAACCUAAGCACAUGUACUUGACAUACUCAUUUUCUGAAACUCUAUAUUUUCAUGUAUCCCUCCUCUUAUGACAUACCUCUUACAGUAUGUUGGAAUCAGUCCUGUCUUAUCAUCAUUGCCAUGGUUACCUUAUCAUCAUUACAGUAUAUAUGUGUUGCUAUAAUACUACUGUGGAUGUCAUAUCAAAAUUCCCUAAAGCAAAAUGAUCCCAGAACUUACUCUGUACACAUCUCAGGUUGCUAAGCAUUGAUAGCUUUAUUAUAUGUUUCCCAGCUAAAACAAAGUUAGCUUGUAUGCCUCUGCUGACAUACAGCUCUUUGUCCUUUCUGGUAGAAGGCAAAUUAUUCCAUGUAUCAUCUUCACUGUAAGCUACUUCCUUACAUCAAAUAAAAAUUCCACUCUUGACUGGAUAUCUCAGCAACCUGAUUUUCCUUUACUUAUAUUACUGUAUUACUAAAAUUCACAAGAAUGUUGAUACUGGAGGCAAGGAGCAUGUUAGUCAGUCAAGUUAAGCACUGUGAUAUUGCAGAUACAGAGGUCAUGAUACGAAGAUGUGGCACAGCUCAAAACCCAGGGCAGAGUAUAUACGGGCUUGGGAUAAAGAAAACCCUUUGCUAGGGUUGUGUGGCUGUGGGAUGAUCUUUCAGUGUAGAGUGGAGGAGCACAGAUGUUAACAUCUGGUUUUAAUCCAAAAUCUGUAUUACCCUCCAAUGUGCGCUGGGGACUAUGAAUGCAAAACUCUUAACAUAAGCAGAAUUCCUUAUGUGUAAUAAGGAUUUUGGUAAUGCGUUUGGCUCUAUGUGGAGGAUGCACAAGCCUUGUAUGUCACAGACUAGAUCUUGCCACAUGCUUCCACUCCUCUCUGGAUAGACUCACUCAUAGGAUGGAUUGCCCCUGCUUUUUUCAUGGCACUUUCCCACUGACGAGGUGUCUGGGGAAGCUGGGUACAGAUAUAACUUAAAUAUCUUUUACCUUCGGUGACUGAAUGCUCAUUCUUCUGAAAGACAAAAGCAAAGCCUUGACUGGAGAAGAGAAUGUGUACACACGUAAUUGUGCAUCUGUCUAUGUAACCAUGUUUUAUGUAUGGAAUCGCAAGAAAACAUGUCUAACUCAAAUGAUGAUUGAACUGAUACUCAACUAAGUUCUAACUACCAGAUUUUCCAUCGUGUUCAUCCUUAUAACAGCUCCUUACUACAUUCUCAAGCAGAGGCUUUGAAUAUGAGGCUAAGAGUACAGUGGAGUGAAGAAAGUGAUUCAUUACUGGGAAUAAAAAACCCAGUCUUCAUGGAUGAUACAUUGCCUAUAUACAUGAUUACAGGUUUAGAAACAAGAGGUUACCUACUGUUCCACGGCUGUAAUCAAAUAUUACCAGACUGAAGAAAAGCAAAUACACUCAAGAUUUUCAGGAGAAUUCUCAUGAUUAAGAAGAGUAAAAUCUUAAAUAAACAGAGGUAAAUAACAGAACAUUUGUGAUAGAGGAUAUGAUGGUAAUUGCAGCUGGGAAACUUUUCUUCUUUUCUUCUUAAGCUAAAGAUGACUGGGAAUUUUUUUUGGUAACUACAGGAGCAGUUAACUGGCCAUUUUUUAUGAGGAAAUGGAAACAAGGAUUCAAGGCCAUCGUGAAGACUAUGUAAGUAUCAGGAACAUGGCUGCAGGAAAUCAGAAUGGCAAUGUGCAGCGCCAGCAUCAACAAGAAGCAGGAACUCCUCUGUGAGCCCACAGGAAGACACUGUCUCAAAUAGGCGUUCGUCUCUCCAUCCUUCUCCUCUCACUUACUGGUAGCUACAACUCUGUGACAGCCUGAUGGGAGCCCUUGGGAACUGUUCUUGCUUACUUGUAAAGAAGUAUAAAACUCUGUUCUGAAAUUAAAAAGAAAAUAUUAAGGUUGAAGAAGAACUGGGUGGUGAAUUAAGCUGAGAAAAACGCCUGUAGGAAAUUCACAGUGAAUGCUCCUUUGUCCAGAGUUAGCCUCUCUCAGGCAUGUUCCCUUACACAGUGUAUGCCAACAUAUAGAUUUGUGGAUUGUUUUUUAUUUGUACAGGUGAACAGUGACAAUAAUUCAUGGUUCAGGUUGUCUAGAGGACUGGGAAGUAAUGAUAAUAGACUUAGUUCCUUCAGUAGUGUCCAAAAAGUGAUGGUUAGAGCUGAAUAAUUCAGAAAGUUUUCAGGUAAUCUUAGCUUAGGCCCUGAUCUUCCCAAGGCAAUGCUCAUACUUCAUUUCUGGCUUGCACAGUCACGCUGAACGCAAUGGCAGCAGGGUAACACAUCUGAAGCUAAGCUUAUCAUAAAUCAACUUUCUGUAUCAGGGCCUCUAUCACAGUCUGUUCAGAGAUAUGCCACAGGAAAAGAAAAAGGGUAAAUAAGUUUGCUAUGGCCCCAUUUAAAUUCCUUUUGUGUUCGUUUCCUCUGACAGUUUGGGAAAUAGACCUUCAGUAAUAAAAAAAAAGAAAAUACAGAAAAGAAUGAGAAAACAGUGAUAGAGAAGGAUGAGGAAACAGUGUUUAAAGCCACGUGUAAGUUCUUGUGAAAACCAAAUAGUGUGUUUGCAUAUGCUAGCAUUCAGGCUAGGUGUUCCCGCACGAUUCCUGUCAGGAAAAAGAUACCAUGCAUAUGAUUUAUCAGGCAGCCACCGACUAUGUACUGUGGAUAUUUGCUUUCAAUCCACCGAGUUCAAGAUUAGAAAAGGUAUCUGUUGAAUUCAUUUGAAUAGCAAAUAGACUGGGGAAUCACAAUCUGUUCCUAGCUAUUCAAUGGAUGAUAACCGGUAAUUCAUUAAAUAUAUUAGUCUCUCCAUUCUAAUAAUUAUUAGAGCAGAGACAGAAGUUUGAAAACAAUCAUUUCGAGAACAGUGCAGCAUUUCUAUGUGCAAGUGAUAAGUGACAUAUUUCAGCACGUGCGCUCCUUGGCUUCUGGAUCAGCCACAGUCACCUCGUGACAAAUCUCCUCGGCUGCUGCUUGGUGGAUAGCUGGCAGUGCACCCCACACAGCACAGGUAUGAGGACUUCUAAGAUCAAAGCAGAAGUUAGCAACGUUAUCCAUGUGGCAUUACAUCUUGACCCCUGCGUGUAUGUACAGUUACGGAAGUUAGUCACCUGCAGUGCUUACAAAUUAAUUUCAGCAAACAGUUGAGUUGAUCGGCACUGUGAGCACAAGGAAGCAGACCUUGGGCAUUUUCAUCUUGCAUGAAACCAUGAACGAAAGGACUUUGAGGACAACUGGUAGGGAAAAAAAAAAAAGCAAAAGCACUUUUGGGAGAGGAGAGCGCUGAGAUCCAUCAGUAUUCAGUAUUUCUGGGAGGAAGGCUCUAUCUGUAGGGAAUCUGGCCAGGACUAAGGCAGGUUUGUGAUCUCCUUUCCAGGCAGCUUUUCCACAGGGUGCUCAUCCUGUUGGAAUUGCGGCUGGAAGACCACAGCCUUGCAUGGUGACUCAUAAUUUGGAGAACCAAGUAGAAAUUCAGCCUCUCUGAUUCACAGAGGAUUUAGGAAAUGCUUGCUCUUAGCUCAGAAGCCAUUUCAUCAGCUGAAGGCAGAAGCAGGUGGAUGCCCACAGAAACAUCUGGAAAGUCAGCAUUACACGUGGAAAGAAGACAGAGCACUAAGAGAGAUGGCAGACUGCCAUUCUGUUUUCACUCAGUUAAUAUGUUCCCUCCUCCACUUGCUCACUAUGUCUUUCCAGGCUUCAUAAUCUCUGGUGGACAUACCAAGGGGUGGAGCUGGGCUGGCAACCAUCGCCAUGCAUCACUGCUCCUACAAACACAUAGUACUAGUAUGGGCAGACGGCAUCGUUGUGCUGAUCAUCAUCCUCUGAGUCAGCCAUUUGCAAACACCUUCUCCAGGCUGUCAUCUUGCCACUAGGAAUUCAAAAUCUGAGUCAGAACCCAAUUUAAACUGCUAUAAUUAACAGUCCCGAUUUAACUGAAUCUCACAGUUUGUCAUGUUGCAUUCUCUGUGUACAUCUGAAAAUCUCUCUCCAGGGCUCCCAGAGAGCCUCAGUGGUUCCAGGCUCCCACCAAGACCAAGUCCAAUAGCCACCAAACAAACCUGUCCUUGCUGGAUUCAUCUCACCAUUAAAUACAGAAAUAUCACAGAUGAUGGGUUGGAUGUUGACGUGGACUUUUCUAUAAAUACUGCUGAUGAGGGCAAAGCCUGGGUGCCACAUGAAGGAAAGAAGGGUGGAAGUAUCUCACUUGCUCAGAAGCCCCAAAAAACUUAGAAUGGUUGAGACUCCUACGAAGGAGAUAAUUAUACACUGCACAAGCUAAAAACAAGCACUUUUUUUCUUUAUUGUUUCUAAAUGAUGUUAUUAUGAAUGAAAAUUCACUCUGAGGAAGGUCUCCAGUUACUGUGGAUGCUUAGGAGAGCCCCUGAGUUUACUUUUAGGGAACACAGUGCUAUUGCAAAUAAGGUGACCUGGGGACUAUCUGAUGGUUUUGCAGCCAUAAGUGACAGCAAGCUGGACUGUGGGUGGAAGUGCAUUUUUGAAAACACUUAUUUUUACGAUUUAAGGAGGAAUUUUUAUGUCCUCUGCUUUUUUUCUUUACUUUCAUCUGACCAUCAGGGAGCACUUCUGUGCUGCACAGGUGGCAGAACAGUGGCACAGGCUGCCCAGAGGCUGUGGAGCCCCCUCUUUGGAGCUCUUCAGAAGAUGCCUGAGCACUCUGCUCCAGGCGUCCCUGCUUGGUCUGGGGUUGGGCCAGAUGGACUCUGAGGUCCCUACCACCCCCAGCCUUGAUGGAAUUCUGUGAUUCCUUUCAAUUCUCUGAAUGAUGGAUUUAGUCUUUUGUGUUGUGCUGCUAUUGUUUUUGCAGAGCUAUUUCAAGGCUGCCACUGUGAGCUCCCCUCUCAACCUAAGUGCUGCACUACUGUAGCUGGAGAGCCAUCCACUUACCGUUCACAUAGGCGAAACAUUUGAGGGACAUAAAGAGAGGGACUCUUUAUCCGGGAGUGUAACAAUAAGACAAGGGAUAACGGCUUUAAACUAAAAGAGGGGAGAUUUAGAUUAGUUGUUUGGAAGAAAUUCUUCACAGUGAGGCUGGUGAGGCACUGGAGCAGACUGCCCAGAGAAGCCAUGAAUGUCCCAUAGCUGAAAUUGCUCAAGGCCAGGUUGGAUGGGACUUUGGGCAACCUGAUCUAGUGGAAGCGGUCCCUACCCACGACAGAGGACUUGGAACCAAAUAGUCUUUCAGGUAUCUUCUAACUCAAGCAAUUCUGUGAUUCUUCAGUUCUACGACUCUAUGAAGAGAUUGCCUCAAUUUCAUAUAGCAGAUGAUCAGACAAGUUGGGAUUAUUGCCAUGGCUUCAAAUCUGCUUGAGAUAGUCUGUGCCCUAAACUACACUUAUUUAGCUGCCUUGAUAUUUCGCUGUCAUUCCUCUUCAUCCUGAGCUUCCCAUGUACACCCACUAGGGAUUUCAUUCUGUGAACACUUCCAGCUGAAACUGUACCAUGGAAUUUUUAAUGAUACUUAGACAUUGCCUCGCUUUCUUUCAG
ensembl:lncRNA